AACGAACGCUGGCGGCAGGCUUAACACAUGCAAGUCGAACGCUCCGCAAGGAGAGUGGCAGACGGGUGAGUAACGCGUGGGAAUCUACCUAGUUCUACGGAACAACAGAGGGAAACUUCUGCUAAUACCGUAUACGCCCUAAGGGGGAAAGAUUUAUCGGAAUUAGAUGAGCCCGCGUAAGAUUAGCUAGUUGGUGGGUA
rnacentral:rRNA from 1 species